AUUGAACGCUGGCGGCAGGCCUAACACAUGCAAGUCGAGCGGAGCGGCGGACGGGUGAAUAAUGCCUAGGAAUCUGUAUGUUAGUGGGGGAUAACGUCCGGAAACGGGCGCUAAUACCGCUUACUAUCAGCUGAGCCUAGGUCGGAUGAGGUAGUUGGUGGGGUAAAGUCCUACCAAGGCGACGAUCCGUAACUGGGCUGCGAGGAUGAUCAGUCAAACUGGAACUGAUACACGGUCCAGACCCCUACGGGAGGCAGCAGUGGGGAAUAUUGGAAAAUGGGCGAAAGCCUGAUCCAGCCAUGCCGCGUGGGUGAAGAAGGUCUUCGGAUUGUAAAGCACUUUAAGUUUGGAGGCGUUACCAACAGAAUAAGCACCGGCUAACUUCGUGCCAGCAGCCGCGGUAAUAC
rnacentral:rRNA from 1 species